ensembl:lncRNA
CUUGGAACCAUGGUAAGACCAGAAUGUCAGUGUAGCAGCUCACAACCUGCUUGCCUCUUAGGCUGGAAUGGAAGCCAUGGAAUGAGGCUGGGAAGAAUGUCUUCAGUCAUGUCUUGCUGCAAUGGACUUUAACAUCUGAGAGGCCUGGAUUUCUAACCUUGCAGCACCACUAACUAGCUGGAUGACCUUGAACAAAUUAGCUAACUCCCUAAAUCUUAUAAUAUCAGUGAAAUCAGAAUGAUGCUCCCUAGUUUGCAGUGAUGUUGUGAUGUGUGAGCCAUGGAAAGCUAAAAUGCUUAUCCAGUCCUGAGCCAUAGCAUAUGUACAAUCUAAGGCCUUUUCCCUUCCCUCCAAUUCCAUAACAUGCCUCAUGGCCGAGCAUUGAAGAAGUGUGUCCAGAGCUGGACACACUGCCUCCUGGUCUCUUCUCCUGACCCCAAUACAGGGUUGGUGGUAAUGAUGCCCUUCAUGCACCUGUACAGGGAGCAAGAACAACCUUUCAGAUCAGACCUCCAGAUGCCUGGCUUAAUGUAAAGUCCGUCCUUCAAGUGGAAUCUGCCCUUCAUCACCACUAGAAUCUUCUCUGCUUUCACUUCAGUGCCAAAACAUAUACUUCAUUCUAGAACUUAGAAGUUCUUCACCAGGGAUUCCCCCAAACCUUCAAGUGUGUGGGGGGGGUUGGGGGUGUGUGGGCUUUCACCUACCUAUGUUUUAUGGAAAGAUUCAUGGCUUUCGUUAAUGUCUAAGAAAGAUUCGUGACUAAAAUACCGUGAAUAAUAACCAAAUCCCUUUGGAAAUGUUUCUCUACCCAUGAGAGAAAGCCAGAAGUUCUGAGCACAACCUCUCCCUGCUUCCUACAGCUCUGGUAGGUUUCCACAACCAGUCGCUCUAACACCCACCCCAGGUCACAUCUAAAGAUGAGUAAAGCCACUUCUUACUUUCUCUGGCCACACUGGCUUGUGGUAUUGAGGGGGCCUUUGCACUUCUCAGUUGAUUAGGGAGAUGACAAAUGAGGGCAAUUACAGAGGCUUGGCCAUCAUAGUCCAACUGAACCUGACACCACAGAAUAUUUUCCACAACCUCUGGGUGCUGUUACAGCUUUGGGCCUAAGGCUUUACCUAGGAGAGACCACCAGCAGGGAAUGCUAGGGGGGCGGGGAUUAAAACAAAAACCAAGGGAGAGUUGUGAAGCAGUUAACAGCUUCCCCUUUCUCACAGCUGGCCAGGCUGAUGAGGAUGGGGAAGAAGAGGGAGGGAAAGUGCCAGACCUUUUCCCCAGAGGUCUCAUUUUGAAUUUAAUGGGCAGCAUUUGUGGGGAAUGAGAGAGGCUUCAAGCCCAAGGGACCAGAAGACAAAGGCUCUUGAGGAAGUGCAAGGAGGAGGAGGGCCCGGCCACUGUGUGUGAGAGCUCUCCCUCUAUCUGUUUCAUCGCUGUUGGGGUUAGGGUUACCCUCCAUUUGGGGCCCUAGCUGCUUUGUGGGGUCUGUGACAUCAGCCCUUGUGAUGAUAAUGGAUGGGCCUCACACAGGGGGCACUCCUUCCUUUGCCAACUCAUACCAGCUUCCAGAGAGGAUUGAAGCUCUUGUUCCCUUAGGGUGGGGGCAGGAUGUGGGCCCAGAAUUGGACCCAAGACAACAGUCCCCCUCCCAGGCUGAACCCACUGCUCAGUGUACCUUCCAAACCCAAGCUAUGACCUUCCUCUCUCCAAAGCUCCAGAAAAGGAAAGGAAUCUGAACAUUGAGAUGCUUUUCUGGCCCUAAACAAUCCUCCCAUUCUCUAGGCUCAAUGAUGGGUCUAUUCCCUCCUGUAAAUGGGUCUCGUAAUCUUCAACUUUUACCUUUGCUUCUAAGGGUAAUUAAUUGGAUCUCCCUCUUGUUCUCCCCACACACUCCCCUCUCUGUUACAAGGCUCAGGUUAAGGUGGCUUUUUUUCUGUUCUAUGAGGUGCUUAUUUUUAAAGCUGGUGGACUAAGGCCCUUCCCUCCCCUGCAAAUCCCUUCUCCAGAGAAGCCCACUAGGGGAAAUGACUUCCACAGACACUGGAAAGGGGCUCAUGACUAUGCCAGCUAGAGGGUUUUUAUUUUUUUAUUUUUUUGGUACUGGGGAUUGAACUCGGGUCCUUCCGCUUGCGCAGCAGGUGGUGAAACCACUGAGCUAAAUCCCCGGCCAGCUAGAGGCUUUUUAGAUCAUCAGUUCUAAGUGACUAGGUCACUCCCCGCCCCCUCCUCCAAGUGUGUUUCCAAAGAUUUAGAGAAGAAGGAGUUUUCAGGGAGCACUCAUAAGAGCAAAGUGGAGGGUUGAGUGUGAUCUGGCUGGUAGACAGAAGAUACAAAGAUGCCAAGGGGACAUAGGACAAAGUAAGAACUAGAGAUCAAACUUUUUUAUUUUUUUGACUCAAGUAAAGAAAACCAGUAAGGCCUUAGGUGCAUGGCAACAAGGUAAGAGGUGAGGAUAUGGCCCAGGCAGGCGUGUAGGGGCAGCUGGACCCAGGGCUGCCAGGGAGGUAGGUCAUGCAGGCAUGAAACUAAACUCCAGAGACUGGUAAUUUCUAGUUACCUAUGGACUUGUCAGAUUCUUCUAGUAGAUCAUGAGUUUCAAAGGCUGAAACAAUUUACUCCUAUCUGAAUCCCCUGCAGCACCUAGCCAGCAAAUGGCAUGUGGACACUCAUGACUGAAAGAAUCAAAACUAUAAAGGGACUGUCAGGUACCAAGGGAGGGGCCUCUGAGAGCAGUAUUCCCUGGUUGGAGGAAUAUUCUGUCACUAACAUUGACUAGGGCUGUCAAUAUAGGGUGGAAACCAACCAAUAAGUUAUAGACAGUUUUACUAUGGUUUUAGAAUACAUGUGCCAUCCUUCUCUUGUAAUGCCAUUGAGUAUGGAAGAGGUUAAAGAUAGAUUGAGUCAGGUAAGUAAAGAAAGUAGCAGUUUAAUCCUUGAUCAGCAGGAGGUCCUAGUGGUGUGAUGACUGUGUGUGUACAUGUAUAUAUGUGUAUUUGUGAGUGUACAGUGUGUAUGGGGUAUCAGACAGAAUUGGGAUAUUCUGCACUGAAUUCUAUUUCCUAAUCCUAUUUCCCACUUAUAAUCACUGUUAAUACUAUGAUAAUAUUCUUUCAGAUUAUUUUAAUAUGUAUGUACUGACUCACAAAUUGCAGUGCAUUAUGGUUUUAUUUUUUCACUUAAUUAAACUUAAAUAUCUUUCAUUGGCAACAUACAGAAUUUCUUCAUCCUUUAUGAAACCCAUAAAGUAUAUGCAUUGUGUGGAUGGGCUAUAAGUUUAUUUAACCAAUUCCAAAUUGAUGAAUAUUUGGAGGGUUUCUAGUAUGUCACCUUAUACACAAUAUUGCAAGAUAUUGCAGAUAUAUUUGCUUAUUUUCUUAGGUAUUCCUAUAGCAUAAAAUUUGAGUAGAACUGAUUGGCUCACCAAUUGAAAACUGUAAGUGUUAGUAGAUUUUUCUAAAAAAUAACUAAUUUACACUCUCCAGUAGACUAUAAAAGAGUAUAUAUCCUUAGUCUUGAGUAAAUCAGAAUUUUCAUCCUUGUCAAUCUUAAAAGUAAAAAAUGAGUUACUUCCCUUUGUUUAAUUUACAUUAAUUUAUAGUGAGCUUAAGCAUCUUUUUAUAUUGUUUGUUGGUCAUUUGCAUUUCCUUUUAUAUGAACUGGCUAUCCAGAUAGUCUACCUUUAAAAAAGUAGGCUGUGUUCUUUUCCAUAUUGAUGUGUAGAUCUUUGAAUGAGGAACUUUAACAGUUUGUUCAUGAUGUACAUCAAUUUGAAUUCUUUAUUUUGCAGGUAACAAAAAACCCAACUCAGAAAAGGACAUUUACUGACUAAACAACCAAAGAAGUAUUAUGUACCUGCCUAUCAGACUGACAAAAUUUUUAAAGUCUGAUGUUAACAAUCAUUGGUGAGGAUGUGAAGAAACAAGACCUCAUGGUGAUGAGAAGAUAAAGAAAUACAACUACUUUAGAAAGCCAUUUGGUGAUGCAGAUCCAAAUGCCUUAUCUGUAAUUCAGAAACCCAGAAAGCUCUGAAAUCUGAAAGUUCUUUCUUAACUUAUUUGGUGGCAAAACUUGACCUGAUGUAAAAAUACAUGUCUUCAUUUAUCCCACUUAAUGUGGAUAUUUAUACUUCUCACCCCAGAAAAAAUAAUAUAUUUGAUUAUGGGCUACUUCUCAAAGCCUGCUGAGAUUAUUCUAUAUGGCACAUACGCAUAUUACCUUUCCAAAAUCCAAAAAAUUCUUAACACAUCUGACCCCAAGGACUUUGAACAACAUAUUGUAGACCUGAGUCUAGUAAAGUCAUACAUCUGGACAUCCUAAGACUCAACCAUUCUGCUCCUAAGGCUAUUCUUUAGAGAAAUCUAUCCAUAUGUGCACAAGGAGACAUAUCUAAGCAUGUUAAUUAUAGCAUUAUUUGUAAUGAUAAAAAUUAGAAAUAACCUAAAUGUUCAUCAAUGGGAGAAUAAAUUGUGAUAUAUUAACCCAGUAGAAUGCUAAAUAGUUAAGGUAUUGAUACAUGGGUGAGCAUUUUUAAGUCUAAAGAGUUGUUGAAUAAAAAAGAUGUUGAAGAAUGAUAGAUAACAGUACAAUACAAUUUAAGGUUUGAAAACAUAUAUGAGGGUGAUAAACACCAAAGUCAAUAUUAUAACUAUUGUAUCUUUGCAAAAGGAGGAAAAGAAUAAAGUCCCUGGGGAUAUAAAGUAGGUUUAUAUUUUAUCUAUAAAUUCUAAUUUAUUGUUUAAAAUAUGAAUGUGGUAAAAUGCUAAAACAAAUACAGAUUUGUGUUCUUCAUAAUGUUCAGUCUUUUUAUGACUGCAUAGUAUUCUGCAAUGGACUAUCUCUAGCCAUUUUCUCAUUUAACUUGCUUUCACUUGCUAAUAUUACAAAUACUGCUGGAGCAAAUAUCUUUGAUAUCUUUUUGCUUAUGUACAAGUAUUUCUGUAGGCAAAUAUUUCUGUACAUUUUCACUUUGACAGUUAGUGCCAAAAAAGGCUUUAACAGUUUAUCCCCUUAACUGACAACAGAGGAGAGUGUCCAUUACCCCACACCCUCCAAAAAACUGUCAAAUUGGAGUGGGAAGAAAUGUCACAUUAAUUUUCAAUUGCUGAUGUCUGUUAGACUGAAUCAUCUUUUCAUAUGUCAUUAGCCAUUACAGUUAUUAAACUGCCUGUUAAUAUCAUCAGAUGUGCAUUCUGCUAAAGAUAAUUAAAAAUGGACUAUUAGUACUAUAAAUAGGAUUUCUUUUUGUUCAUUUUGUUUUGGUUUUGGGGGAUUUUUGUUUUUUAAUUUAAGAAUUUUGGAGAUUUAAGCAUAAACAAUACAGGACAGGAGCACCUAAGCAACAGAAACAUAGGCACUUCCUGUUUUUCUGUUGUCAUCCCUAGCAUGCUUGUCAAUCCAUAGGCACACGAUAGCCACUUCACUUCCAGACAUCACAUCCACUUUCCAAAUGGAAGGAAUUUUUUUUAAAAACCAAGGAAAUAAAGAGCUACACAGACUGAAUCUGUCUUUUUCU